rnacentral:misc_RNA from 1 species
UAUCGCAUUUCUGGUUGUAAAGUA